rnacentral:rRNA from 1 species
UACGUAGGGUGCAAGCGUUAAUCGGAAUUACUGGGCGUAAAGCGUGCGCAGGCGGUUUUGUAAGACAGGCGUGAAAUCCCCGGGCUCAACCUGGGAAUGGCGCUUGUGACUGCGAGACUUGAGUGCGGCAGAGGGGGGUGGAAUUCCACGUGUAGCAGUGAAAUGCGUAGAGAUGUGGAGGAACACCGAUGGCGAAGGCAGCCCCCUGGGUCGACACUGACGCUCAUGCACGAAAGCGUGGGGAGCAAACAGGAUUAGAAACCCCGGUAGUCCCUGAACUG